rnacentral:lncRNA from 1 species
ACUCAGAUGAUGUCAUCAAAGGAAUCGUAGUGCUUAUGUUCAACGGCGGAACUGAUACUUCACCUGCGGUAAUGGAAUGGGCAAUGUCGGUUUUGCUGAACCAUCCUGAUAAGCUUGAGAAGCUCAGAGAAGAAAUCAAAUCUAAUGCUAAGCAAAAAGGGAUUAUACAAGACUCCGAUCUCUCGAGCUUACCUUAUCUUCGGUGUGUCAUCUACGAGACGCUCAGGCUAUACCCCGUAGCUCCACUCUUGCUUCCUCACUGCUCAUCAAAGAGAUUCAACUUAGGCAACUACGAG